GACGUAGGGGGGCCAGCGUUGCUCGGAAUUACUGGGCGUAAAGGGCGCGUAGGCGGAUAGUUUAGUCAGAGGUGAAAGCCCAGGGCUCAACCCUGGAAUUGCCUUUGAUACUGGCUAUCUUGAGUUCGGGAGAGGUGAGUGGAACUCCGAGUGUAGAGGUGAAAUUCGUAGAUAUUCGCAAGAACACCAGUGGCGAAGGCGGCUCACUGGCCCGGUACUGACGCUGAGGUGCGAAAGCGUGGGGGAGCAAACAGG
rnacentral:rRNA from 1 species